rnacentral:rRNA from 1 species
AACGAACGCUGGCGGCAUGCCUAACACAUGCAAGUCGAACGAGACCUUCGGGUCUAGUGGCGCACGGGUGCGUAACGCGUGGGAACCUGCCCUUAGGUUCGGAAUAACUCCCCGAAAGGGGUGCUAAUACCGGAUAAUGUCUUCGGACCAAAGAUUUAUCGCCUUUGGAUGGGCCCGCGUUGGAUUAGCUAGUUGGUAGGGUAAAAGCCUACCAAGGCGACGAUCCAUAGCUGGUCUGAGAGGAUGAUCAGCCACACUGGGACUGAGACACGGCCCAGAAUCCUACGGGAGGCAGCAGUGGGGAAUAUUGGACAAUGGGCGAAAGCAUGAUGCAGCAAUGCCGCGUGAGUGAUGAAGGCCUUAGGGUUGUAAAGCUCUUUUACCCGGGAUGAUAAUGACAGUACCGGGAGAAUAAGCUCCGGCUAACUCCGUG